rnacentral:lncRNA from 1 species
GAAAUUGCAGAUAGCUUUGGUGGUUCACAUUUGGAAUAGAUUAUAGAGAACACUCUCUGGGAAGGUGAAAUGGUGUUCACUUCUCAGAAAGAGGCUCUGUGUUGCAAAGGGAUGCACAGUUUCCGUGAAUUAUCCUAAUCAGCACUUCAGGCAAGUCAGCUGUAAAACACACUGGACUUCAUGAAGCUCUGAGCCAACUUGUGGCCAGUAGGCACUAAGGUCAGAGACGCAUAUGGAAAAGCACAUGAUGAAGCCUCUGGUAUUGGAGUAGUGCCUACAGCCCUGCCCAAGGCCUGGAUAUGGGGAUUGAAGGCAAAGAAGAUCAUGGUUCUGGAGCUCACGUUGAGGAAAUGGACCUCACUCAGGGAAUGGGGCACAUUAGAGAAGGUAAAACACGUACUGUACUUACAGCAGAAGUGAAGGGCUUCAGAAAGUUCUCUUUGCUUUGCUGAGUUCAUGUGUGAAUUCUUUUGCACUGCUUCUUCCUGUCUUUGGCAAUUGAAGGAGACUAGGUUUUCCUUGAUUUGACCUGUCACCCCAUUUCUGUGCUAUUACCUUCAAUGUUUUUAGUAUUUACCUUUCUAACCCCAGCUAUCUUGGUUUGUUUCUAGAAUGGAGAUUUACAGACAGUCAUCUGGGUGGAGGACACCCUUUUGGGAUCAGCACUGAAAGUGACGCCAUAUCCCACUCCAAACCAGCACAACUAUAAAUACUAAGCAGAUGGUGACUCCUGGCCUUAAACAGGAGCCUGUUUCAAAGCAAGACUUUUCCAGAAGAAGUCCAACAGAGUGAUGUCCAGGGGGCUAAAUAGAAACAUUUAUCAGGGACCCAACACUGAACAAGUUCAUGGGCUUCUGAAUAGUUUUCCCAAGUGAGGGGAGAUCCCCUUUGAAGAAGCACAACAGACAUUGCCUAAAGCUAAGGAGAGUAUCACUGAUAAAGGAACCUGAGACAUCUGGGAGAAUUUGCUCUGAAAUUCAGUCCUGCCAAUGCUCUGAGAGUGGGAAACCCUCCUUUCAGUUAGCACAUGAUUUUCAACUUCAGCAACUGUAAUAAAACAAGCAGGCUCUCAAUGUAAAGUUAGUGGAAAAGUCAUUUCUCUGAAAAUAUCACUCCCUAUUUAAAAAAGCCUUAACACACCAGCAGCCCUGACUUAAACACCAGCAUGUCCAAACUGGAGGAAAGCCCUAUGUGUAUCCUCAAUAUGGAAAGACCUUCAGUGUAAACCCAAGUCCCAUGAAACUACAGAGAAGCCAUCCUGGAGAGGACUUGCAUGAGAGUAAAGAAUGUGGCAAAAUCUUCAGACACUGGAUCUUGUCAGACAUCAGAGAGCUCUUGUGGAUAUCUUCAGUAUGGAAAGCCUUCUGUGCGAGCUCAGUAUUAUUGAACAUAAGUAAAUUCAUUUUGGACAAGAGCCUUAUCUAUAUUCGUGAGUACAGCAAAGCCUCAAAGUGCUGUGACAGCCUUAUUAAACAUCAGAGAAUCUGCACUGGAGAAAAACCCUGUUGGUCUGAAGAAGAUAGUAAAAGGUUCAUUAUGGUUCAGCUCUGGUCACCCACCAGAGAAUCCACACUGGAGAGCAGCACCAUUAUGAAUGUAGUGUGUGAGGGAAGGCCUUUAUUUGGAAGCUAGCACUUACCAAUCAUCAGAAUACCCAUGCUGGAGAGAAAAUUUAUAAAUGUAAAAAUGUAAAAAAGCUCAAUCUUAUACAUCAGAAAAUCCACACUGGAACAAAACUGUAUGCAUAUGACCGUAGGGAAGCUAACAGUGUUAGCUCAUUGCUUAAAGGGCAUCAAGAUUCCCGCAUGGGGAAAAGCUCUUUGUAAAUUAUGUGGGAAAACCUUCAGUCAAAGUUCAGAUCUUAUCCAGCAUCAGAGUCCACACUAGAUAGAAGCUUUAUGACUUGGACAAAUGUAAGAAAACAUUUUGAUGAACUCAUCCUUUACUAAGCAACAAAGGAUACACAACAAAAAUGAACCUCAAUAAUCAAAUAUGUGGUAGAGAGAUAGUAGAGGAAUUUUUCAACGUCAUCUGUCAUGAUUAAGGAAAAGACCAU